ACCUGUGAAACCUGCACUAAAGAUCAAAGAAGAAAAGGGUGUCGUUAAUAGCCUUCCUGAGAGAGCAAGAGAUCAUCCUGACAUGACAAGAUCUGAGGUCACUGAAAAUCCCAGAGAUGUGGCAAAAAACACAGCAAUCAAACAGCAAAAUGUUAAGAAACAACCUGAAAAGAAACUGAAGAAGACAACAAGCAGCACAAUUUCGACACCUGUGAAACCUGCACUAAAGAUCAAAGAAGUAAAGGGCGUCGUUAAUAGCCUUCCUGAGAAGGCUAGACAUCAUCCUGACACGACAAGAUCUGAAGUCACUGAAAAUCCCAGAGAUGUGGCAAAAAACACAGCAAUCAAACAGCAAAAUGUUAAGAAACAACCUGAAGAGGAACUGAAGAAGACAACAAGCAGCACAAUUUCGACACUUGUGAAACCUGCACUAAAGAUCAAAGAAGUAAAGGGUGUGAUUAAAUUCCUUCCUGAGGGUCUUUACAAUGUCAAGCACAAUGAGCUUACCAUUCAAAAGAAAUAAUAAAUAAGUCCAUCCAUCCAUCCAUUUUCUUCCACUUAUCUGGGGUCUGGUCGCGGGGGCAGCACCCCAAGCAGAGAAGCCCAGACCUCCACCUCUUUCCCCCCUACACCUCCUCCACCUUGUCCGGGGGAUCGCCAAGGCAUUCCCAGGCCGGCCGAGAGUGUCACGGGUUGCCGGGGCAAGCCGAGUGAAUUAUUAAAGGACCCGAAAUGCAGAUGGUUUCUGAGAGAAGACAACAAGCAGCACAAUUUCAACACCUGUGAAACCUGCACUAAAGAUCAAAGAAGUAAAGGGCGUCGUUAAUAGCCUUCCUGAGAGAGCAAGAGAUCAUCCUGACAUGACAAGAUCUGAGGUCACUGAAAAUCCCAGAGAUGUGGCAAAAAACACACCAAUCAAACAGCAAAAUGUUAAGAAACAACCUGAAGAGGAACUGCAAGAACGCAAGGAAGAUCAUGUUGAACAUGAAGAUGAGGAUGAAGAACAGGAAGAUGAGCAUAUAGAUGAAGAUGAUGUUGGUGAAGAUGAGCCUAGAGCUGAGAGAGAUGAGGAUGAAGAAGGUGAUAUUGAUGAAGUCGAGACUGCGCCUGCUGUUGCCUCUAACCAUACUGACAGCAGUGAUAUCAAAGAGAGAGUAACAGAUACAAUUCCAACACCUGGAAAACAUGCAUUAGAGAUGAAAGAAGUAAAGGGUAUCAUUAACAUCCUUCCUGAGAAAGCUAUAGAUCAUCCUGGCAUGCCAAGAUCUGAAUUCUCUGGAAAUAACAGAGAUGUUGCAACAAACACAGCAAUCAAACAGCUGAAUGUCAAGAAAGAACCUGAAGAGGAACUGAAAGAACGCAAGGAAGAUCAUGUUGAACAUGAAGAUGAGGAUGAGGAACAGGAAGAUGAGCAUAUAGAUGAAGAUGAUGUUGGUGAAGAUGAGCCUAGAGCUGAGAAAGAUAAGGAUGAAGAAGGUGAUAUUGAUGAAGUCGAGACUGCGCCUGCUGUUGCCUCUAACCAUACUGACAGCAGUGAUAUCAAAGAGAGAGUAACAGCUACAAUUCCAACACCUGGAAAACAUGCAUUAGAGAUGAAAGAAGUAAAGGGUAUCAUUAACAUCCUUCCUGAGCAGAAGACUAGACAUCAUCCUGACAUGCCAAGAUCUGAAGUCAGUGGAAAUAACAAAGAUGUGGCAAAAAACACAGCAAUCAAACAGCAAAAUGUUAAACAACCUGAAGAGGAACUGAAGAAGACAACAAGCAGCACAAUUUCAACACCUGUGAAACCUGCACUAAAGAUCAAAGAAGAAAAGGGUGUCGUUAAUAGCCUUCCUGAGAGAGCAAGAGAUCAUCCUGACAUGACAAGAUCUGAGGUCACUGAAAAUCCCAGAGAUGUGGCAAAAAACACACCAAUCAAACAGCAAAAUGUUAAGAAACAACCUGAAGAGGAACUGCAAGAACGCAAGGAAGAUCAUGUUGAACAUGAAGAUGAGGAUGAGGAACAGGAAGAUGAGCAUAUAGAUGAAGAUGAUGUUGGUGAAGAUGAGCCUAGAGCUGAGAAAGAUGAGGAUGAAGAAGGUGAUAAUGAUGAAGACAAGAGUGUGCCUUCUGUUGCCUCUAACCAUACUGACAGCAGUGAUAUCAAAGAGAGAGUAACAGCUACAAUUCCAACACCUGGACAACAUGCAUUAGAGAUGAAAGAAGUAAAGGGUAUCAUUAACAUCCUUCCUGAGAAGACUAGACAUCAUCCUGACAUGCCAAGAUCUGAAGUCAGUGGAAAUAACAAAGAUGUGGCAAAAAACACAGCAAUCAAACAGCAAAAUGUUAAACAACCUGAAAAGAAACGGAAGAAGACAACAAGCAGCACAAUUUCAACACCUGUGAAACCUGCACUAAAGAUCAAAGAAGUAAAGGGUGUCGUUAAUAGCCUUCCUGAGAAAGCUGGAGAUCAUCCUGACAUGACAAGAUCUGAGGUCACUGAAAAUCCCAGAGAUGUGGCAAAAAACACAGCAAUCAAACAGCAAAAUGUUAAGAAACAACCUGAAGAGAAACUGCGUCCUUCCUGUGAAGCUCUGCCCGUGUCAGAUGAGUGUGAACAUAAAGAUGUCCCCUGCUCUGGCCACAGUGUAGCUGAAGUACAAUCCAUGAUGCCAGAGAUGAGUGUGGACAUGUCAGAGGCCCGGUUGCCUGGGCCCUCAGCCAGCUCUGGCUUGAAUACAAUGGAUCUUGAUCAACUGAAGAGGAAAAAAAUAAAAAUGCAACUGAAGGUUUUAAAAUUACAAGAAGAGUAUUACACUUUGAAAAUAAAAGAACUGAAAAAAUGAGGAUUAAUGUAAAGCUGACAUUGCAGACAAUAAAUUAAAAGAUCGCUGUUUACAUCCACAAACUGACACACGUUAUCUGGAGGUUUCUUGGGUGGAAUGUUACUUUUGACAAAAGCUACAAAAUCAAGUGUGCUGCAUUUAUACACCGUACUUUGUCGUUGCUGUACUCAGGUUUCCUUUAGUAUUGUUGAUUACCAUGUUUUACUUUGUUAUUAGAAUUAAACAAAUAGCUGAUAUUUCCUUCCUGUAAAAUGUGAAUAAACAAUAUUGAUGCUUUUUAUCUGUAAAUUUUGCAAGUGUUAUGAAACUGUGUUUCCUUUGGACUUUGCCCAACCUGUAGUAAUAGUUGUAAGAAGUAGCCUUUAAACAGCAUCGUGCAAUGUCUUGAGCCACAGCUCAUUUCUUUAUGUUUUGCUUCCAAGGAGCAAGAACUUUUAGAAAUUUGCAAGAAAAUAACAAUAUGUGCUCUUUUACUUUGAAGCAUUGUUAGUAAUACAUCAAUCAUAUCUGUGACAGAUGAGCAUAACUGUUUAAAUUCCAAAGAAAUUAGACCCCCCCAAAAAAUUCAUGUAAAUUUGUCCAACCAUAAUGAGAAAAUAUGAAAUGAAUAAAGGAGAGUUACAGUGAUGUGCAAAAGUCUUGAGCCAGGACACGUCAUGCAGAGAUAUGUUAAGUGUCCAGCUAAUAGAUCUUUGGGCAUCAGUUGGUUCCACAAUAAAAAAAAUUCUG
ensembl:lncRNA